GACGAACGCUGGCGGCGUGCCUAAUACAUGCAAGUAGAACGCUGAAGGAGGAGCUUGCUUCUCUGGAUGAGUUGCGAACGGGUGAGUAACGCGUAGGUAACCUGCCUGGUAGCGGGGGAUAACUAUUGGAAACGAUAGCUAAUACCGCAUAAUAUUGACUAUUGCAUGAUAGUCAGUUGAAAGGUGCAACUGCACCACUACCAGAUGGACCUGCGUUGUAUUAGCUAGUUGGUGGGGUAACGGCUCACCAAGGCGACGAUACAUAGCCGACCUGAGAGGGGGAUCGGCCACACUGGGACUGAGACACGGCCCAGACUCCUACGGGAGGCAGCAGUAGGGAAUCUUCGGCAAUGGACGGAAGUCUGACCGAGCAACGCCGCGUGAGUGAAGAAGGUUUUCGGAUCGUAAAGCUCUGUUGUAAGAGAAGAACGAGUGUGAGAGUGGAAAGCUCACACUGUGACGGUAUCCUACCAGAAAGGGACGGCUAACUACGUG
rnacentral:rRNA from 1 species